rnacentral:ncRNA from 1 species
GGUAGUAAGAAAAUUUAGGCUCGAUCCUUACAUACUGAAAUGGAGUAGGAUCUCACAUAAACAGCAGUUGAUCAUGUGCGUGGUAACAUAUUCACAUAUACUUUAUGAACGUCGCUGAAAAACCGAGCUAGUGUUUUCAUCUUUAGUUAAGAAACGGGCUUUUUGGAAUCGGUUCAGCCGUGGAUAGAGGAGCUGUUUUCGUAAAGCAUUGAGAUUUCUAUGAUGUCUUGUGUUUUUCCGACAAUCCAUCAAAAAUUAAGAGAGGUUAUUAAUUUUUGCUACAACGUGCCGAUUUCCGCAUCAGGUCUCCAAAGUGGACAGACUCUUCUC